rnacentral:rRNA from 1 species
CCUACGGGUGACAGCAGUGGGGGAUAUUGCACAAUGGGGGAAACCCUGAUGCAGCGACGCCGCGUGGGAGAAGAAGGAUUUCGGGAUGUAAAGCCCUAUCAGCAGGGAAGAAGAAAGGACGGGACCUGAGGAAGAAGCAGCGGCUAAAGACGUGGCAGCAGCCGCGGUAAUACUUCUGGAGCAAGCGUUAUCCGGAUUUACUGGGUGGAAAGGGAGCGCAGGCGGCACGGCAAGCCUGAUGUGAAAGCCCGCGGCCCAACCGCGGGAUUGCCUUGGAAACUACCGGGCUGGAGUGCCGGCGUGGUAGGCGGAAUUCCUCGUGUAGCGGUGACAUGCGUCGCUCUUACGAGGCACCCCAGUGGCGCCGGCGUCCUACUGGACGGUGACUGACGCUGAGGCUCGACAGCGUGUGUAGCAAACAGGCUUCGAUACCCUUGUAGUC